rnacentral:lncRNA from 10 species
UGGAUAAAAAGGCUACAGGGCGCGGUCCCGGUUCUUGUGUAAGAAUUCUGACUGCACAGCCCUGCACUCCAGCUGUGGGUGGAGAAACGCAGGCGCAGAAAAGAACCUGGAACUAGCAGCUGUUUUGGCAGCCAGAUGAGAUGCCCCCUGGGAGAGCCAUGCCUCUUGUGGAAAGGGCCUGCUCCUCCUCACCUUCAGGAAGUUCUACUAAAAUUCAGUAAUCUUACUAGGCAGUAAGAUUCAGGACAUAGGCAUGGGCAAGGACUUCAUGUCUAAAACACCAAAAGCAAUGGCAACAAAAGACAAAAUUGACAAAUGGGAUCUAAUUAAACUAAA